rnacentral:rRNA from 1 species
UACGUAGGCAGCAAGCGUUGUUCGGAAUUACUGGGCGUAAAGAGUGUGUAGGCGGUGCUCUAAGUUCGGUGUGAAAUCUCCCGGCUCAACUGGGAGGGUGCGCCGAAAACUGGAGUGCUGGAGCGCGGGAGAGGAAAGCGGAAUUCCUGGUGUAGCGGUGAAAUGCGUAGAUAUCAGGAGGAACACCGGCGGUGUAGGCGGCUUUCUGGACCGUAGCUGACGCUGAGACACGAAAGCGUGGGUAGCAAACAGG